UACGUAGGGGGCAAGCGUUGUCCGGAAUUAUUGGGCGUAAAGCGCGCGCAGGCGGUUUUGUAAGUCUAGUGUUUAAUUCCAGGGCUCAACCUUGGAUCGCACCGGAAACUGCAAGACUUGAGUGUAGGAGAGGAAAGUGGAAUUCCACGUGUAGCGGUGAAAUGCGUAGAGAUGUGGAGGAACACCAGUGGCGAAGGCGACUUUCUGGCC
rnacentral:rRNA from 1 species